CCUACGGGAGGCAGCAGUAGGGAAUCUUCCACAAUGGGCGAAAGCCUGAUGGAGCAACGCCGCGUGGGUGAAGAAGGUCUUCGGAUCGUAAAACCCUGUUGUUAGAGAAGAAAGUGCGUGAGAGUAACUGUUCACGUUUCGACGGUAUCUACCCAGAAAGCCACGGCUAACUACGUGCCAGCAGCCGCGGUAAUACGUAGGUGGCAAGCGUUAUCCGGAUUUAUUGGGCGUAAAGGGAACGCAGGCGGUCUUUUAAGUCUGAUGUGAAAGCCUUCGGCUUAACCGGAGUAGUGCAUUGGAAACUGGGAGACUGGAGUGCAGAAGAGGAGAGUGGAACUCCAGGUGUAGCGGUGAAAUGCGUAGAUAUAUGGAAGAACACCAGUGGCGAAAGCGGCUCUCUGGUCUGUAACUGACGCUGAGGUUCGAAAGCGUGGGUAGCAAACAGGAUUAGAUACCCCGGUAGUC
rnacentral:rRNA from 1 species